rnacentral:rRNA from 1 species
AGUGAACGCUGGCGGUGGGCCUAACACAUGCAAGUCGAACGGCAGCACAGAGGAGCUUGCUCCUUGGGUGGCGAGUGGCGGACGGGUGAGGAAUACAUCGGAAUCUACUCUGUCGUGGGGGAUAACGUAGGGAAACUUACGCUAAUACCGCAUACGACCUACGGGUGAAAGCAGGGGAUCUUCGGACCUUGCGCGAGUGAAUGAGCCGAUGCCGGAUUAGCUAGUUGGCGGGGUAAAGGCCCACCAAGGUGACGAUCCGUAGCUGGUCUGAGAGGAUGAUCAGCCACACUGGAACUGAGACACGGUCCAGACUCCUACGGGAGGCAGCAGUGGGGAAUAUUGGACAAUGGGCGCAAGCCUGAUCCAGCCAUACCGCGUGGGUGAAGAAGGCCUUCGGGUUGUAAAGCCCUUUUGUUGGGAAAGAAAUCCAUCUGGUUAAUACCCGGGUGGGAUGACGGUACCCAAAGAAUAAGCACCGGCUAACUUCGUGCCAGCCGCCGCGGUAA